rnacentral:lncRNA from 1 species
GCCUCUCCGCCGCCGCACCAUCGCCCCCGCGAGCGCGCGGAGCUGCCCUGCGCGGCGGGGGCUCGUUCCCGUGGUUGUUUACGCACGGUCCUUAUUCCGCGGUGAGAAAAGACCACACCCUGCAUCCGUGAGACCAAUGAGGGAGUUUAAACAAAUGAAGCUGUUGGCAUUUCACUCUGGGGAAGGACUUCUUCCCGCAAGGAGAUUGGCUCUAUAGGAAAUGGCAGUCGUGUCAAAAGCGAGCUUAAACCCAGGAGUAAAGAAGAGGAAGUGAAGGGAGUCCUGUGAAUUUCACGUGUGGAUUCUGGGGCUUCCCAGCGAAGGGAAAGAUUCCCAUGAUCGUGCAGAUGGGGAGAUCCCAUUAUUGCUCAAGGAUUCACAGCCAUCAUUAAUGCCAUUAGUCACUGUUUUACAGCUUAGCUGUCAGAGGCUCUAAAGUCAUCUUCUAUGAAGAUUUUUGACAGGAACUUCUUUAGAGGGGAACAAUGAAGGAUGUUCGCAUAAGGAGAAGCAGGAAAACAGUGGAUAUGGCCUGGAGGCUUCCCAGCCGGUCAGCUGCAGGCAGAGGGCAGGUUGGUCUGCUUGUGUCCUCUGUGUGCAGAGCUGGCCCUACCCAUGGAAUCUGCAGCCAUGGAUUCAACCAAUGACAGAUAGAAAAUAUUAACACUAUUCUAAAGAUGCAUAGAUUUUUUUCUUGUCCUUAUUCAUUAAACAGUAUAGUGCAACUGUUUCUAUAGCAUUUACAUUUUAUUAUGCAUUAUAAUUAAUCUAGAAGUGAUUUAAAGUAUACAAGAGGAUGUACAUGUGUCAUAUGCAAAUAUCCAACUUUAUAUAUGCAACUUGAAGAUCCAUGGAUUUUGGCAUCUAUAGGGGUCCUAGGCUUUGAAUACUGAGGGACAACUGUACAGAAAUAAU